AGAAUCAACGCUGGCGGCGUGCCUAACACAUGCAAGUCGAACGAGAAAGUGGUAGCAAUACCAUGAGUAAAGUGGCGCACGGGUGAGUAACACGUGACUAACCUACCCUGGAGUGGGGGAUAACUGAGGGAAACCUUAGCUAAUACCGCAUAACACCUACGGGUCAAAGGAGCAAUUCGCUUCAGGAGGGGGUCGCGGCAGAUUAGCUAGUUGGCGGGGUAAUGGCCCACCAAGGCAGUGAUCUGUAUCCGGCCUGAGAGGGCGCACGGACACACUGGAACUGAAACACGGUCCAGACUCCUACGGGAGGCAGCAGUGGGGAAUUUUGCGCAAUGGGGGAAACCCUGACGCAGCAACGCCGCGUGGAGGAUGAAGUCCCUCGGGACGUAAACUCCUUUCGAUCGGGACGAUAAUGACGGUACCGAGAGAAGAAGCCCGGCGUAACUUCGUGCCAGCAGCCGC
rnacentral:rRNA from 1 species